UACGAAGGGGGCUAGCGUUGCUCGGAAUCACUGGGCGUAAAGCGCACGUAGGCGGAUUGCUAAGUCAGGGGUGAAAUCCUGGAGCUCAACUCCAGAACUGCCUUUGAUACUGGCGAUCUUGAGUCCGGGAGAGGUGAGUGGAACUGCGAGUGUAGAGGUGAAAUUCGUAGAUAUUCGCAAGAACACCAGUGGCGAAGGCGGCUCACUGGACUGGUAUUGACGCUGAGGUGCGAAAGCGUGGGGAGCAAACAGA
rnacentral:rRNA from 1 species